GACGAACGCUGGCGGCGUGCCUAAUACAUGCAAGUCGAGCGGACCGAACAGGAGCUUGCUCUUGUUCGGUUAGCGGCGGACGGGUGAGUAACACGUGGGUAACCUGCCCGUAAGACCGGGAUAACUCCGGGAAACCGGAUCUAAUACCGGAUAACACCUCACACCGCAUUGUCUUUGGUUGAAAGGCGGCUUCGGCUGCCACUUACGCAUGGCCCCGCGGCGCAUUAGCUAGUGGCUGAGGUAACGGCUAACCAAGGCGAGGAUGCGUAACCGCCCUGAGAGGGUGAGAGGCCAAACUGGGCUGGAGACACGGCCCAGAACCCUACGAGAGGGAGCAGUAGGGAAUCCUCCCGAAUGGCAGCAAGUCGGAAGAAGCGACGACGCGUGAGAGAAGAAGGUAGCCGGAUCGUGAAGGUCAGUAGUUAGGGAAGAAGAAGCGUCGUUCGAACACGGCGGCGUGGUGACGGUACCUAACGAGAAAGCUCCGGCUAACUACGUG
rnacentral:rRNA from 1 species